rnacentral:misc_RNA from 1 species
GCAAACUUGGUCAUUUAGAGGAAGUAAAAGUCGUAACAAGGUCUCCGUUGGUGAACCAGCGGAGGGAUCAUUAAAGAGUUACCUAACUCCUAAACCCAUGUGAACUUACCUCUGUUGCCUCGGCAGGUCGCAGCCUACCCCGUGAGACCCUACCCUGUAGGCGAUUACCCGGUGCGGCUACGGACAAGCCUGCCGGCGGCCCAUUAAACUCUGUUUACUUAUUGCACUCUGAAACUAUAACUAAAUAAGUUAAAAACUUUCAACAACGGAUCUCUUGGUUCUGGCAUCAAUGAAGAACGCAGC